UAACCGCAGCUCAACGGCCGGCGGCAGGAGGGGGGCGGCGGCCGGGGGCCCGGAAACGGCCCGAUCGCGGGGACCCGGGCCGGACUCCGUACCUGGGCGGGAGGCGAGGCGGAGACCGGCGGUCGGGCUCGGCGAGGAUGAGGAGCUGCCCUCGUGGAAUUCUGUGAGGAAAUGGU